GGGAUCGAUAUGGAAAUGAUCAGUACAUCUGUGUCCCUUACAUUGACAAAACAGGCCUGAUCGAAUUGUGCUACGGUGGGAUCAUGGGUAUAAUAGAACAAGGUUACUGUUUGGAAACUGACGGACAAAAACUUGUUAACUUCAACUGCAGUAGAUUUUCAUCGGGCUGUCCGAGGAAAUAUUAUCGAAGCAAUGAGAUAUACCAAUAUCCUGCUUGUCAAGGCAUCAAUACUGAACAAAAUUGCUAUUUUGCAGAAUC